rnacentral:rRNA from 1 species
AUUCCAGCUCCAAUAGCGUAUAUUAAAGUUGUUGCGGUUAAAAAGCUCGUAGUUGGAUUUCUGCCGAGGAUGACCGGUCCGCCCUGUGGGUGUGCAUCUGGCUCAGCCUUGGCAUCUUCCUGAAGAACGUAGCUGCACUUGACUGUGUGGUGCGGUAUUUAGGACAUUUACUUUGAGGAAAUUAGAGUGUUUCAAGCAAGCGCACGCUUUGAAUACAUUAGCAUGGAAUAAUAAGAUAGGACCUCGGUUCUAUUUUGUUGGUUUCUAGUACUGAAGUAAUGAUUGAUAGGGAUAGUUGGGGGUGCUAGUAUUGAGCGGCCAGAGGUGAAAUUAUUGGAUUCGCUCAAGACUAACUUAUGCGAAAGCAUUUACCAAGGAUGUUUUCAUUA